GGAUAACUCCGGGAAACCGGAGCUAAUACCGGAUAGUUCCUUGAACCGCAUGGUUCAAGGAUGAAAGACGGUUUCGGCUGUCACUUACAGAUGGACCCGCGGCGCAUUAGCUAGUUGGUGGGGUAAUGGCUCACCAAGGCGACGAUGCGUAGCCGACCUGAGAGGGUGAUCGGCCACACUGGGACUGAGACACGGCCCAGACUCCUACGGGAGGCAGCAGUAGGGAAUCUUCCGCAAUGGACGAAAGUCUGACGGAGCAACGCCGCGUGAGUGAUGAAGGUUUUCGGAUCGUAAAGCUCUGUUGUUAGGGAAGAACAAGUGCGAGAGUAACUGCUCGCACCUUGACGGUACCUAACCAGAAAGCCACGGCUAACUACGUGCCAGCAGCCGCGGUAAUACGUAGGUGGCAAGCGUUGUCCGGAAUUAUUGGGCGUAAAGGGCUCGCAGGCGGUUUCUUAAGUCUGAUGUGAAAGCCCCCGGCUCAACCGGGGAGGGUCAUUGGAAACUGGGAAACUUGAGUGCAGAAGAGGAGAGUGGAAUUCCACGUGUAGCGGUGAAAUGCGUAGAGAUGUGGAGGAACACCAGUGGCGAAGGCGACUCUCUGGUCUGUAACUGACGCUGAGGAGCGAAAGCGUGGGGAGCGAACAGGAUUAGAUACCCUGGUAGUCCACGCCGUAAACGAUGAGUGCUAAGUGUUAGGGGGUUUCCGCCCCUUAGUGCUGCAGCUAACGCAUUAAGCACUCCGCCUGGGGAGUACGGUCGCAAGACUGAAACUCAAAGGAAUUGACGGGGGCCCGCACAAGCGGUGGAGCAUGUGGUUUAAUUCGAAGCAACGCGAAGAACCUUACCAGGUCUUGACAUCCUCUGACAACCCUAGAGAUAGGGCUUUCCCUUCGGGGACAGAGUGACAGGUGGUGCAUGGUUGUCGUCAGCUCGUGUCGUGAGAUGUUGGGUUAAGUCCCGCAACGAGCGCAACCCUUGAUCUUAGUUGCCAGCAUUUAGUUGGGCACUCUAAGGUGACUGCCGGUGACAAACCGGAGGAAGGUGGGGAUGACGUCAAAUCAUCAUGCCCCUUAUGACCUGGGCUACACACGUGCUACAAUGGACAGAACAAAGGGCUGCGAGACCGCAAGGUUUAGCCAAUCCCAUAAAUCUGUUCUCAGUUCG
rnacentral:rRNA from 1 species